AUUGAACGCUGGCGGCAGGCCUAACACAUGCAAGUCGAGCGGAUGAAGGGAGCUUGCUCCUGGAUUCAGCGGCGGACGGGUGAGUAAUGCCUAGGAAUCUGCCUGGUAGUGGGGGAUAACGUUCGGAAACGGGCGCUAAUACCGCAUACGUCCUGAGGGAGAAAGUGGGGGAUCUUCGGACCUCACGCUAUCAGAUGAGCCUAGGUCGGAUUAGCUAGUUGGUGGGGUAAAGGCCUACCAAGGCGACGAUCCGUAACUGGUCUGAGAGGAUGAUCAGUCACACUGGAACUGAGAACCGGUCCAAACUCCUACGGGAGGCAAGCGUGGGGAAUAUUGGACAAUGGGCGAAAGCCUUAUCCAGCCAUGCCCCGUGUGUGAAGAAGGUCUUCGGAUUUUAAAGCACUUUAAGUUGGGAGGAAGGGCAGUAAGUUAAUACCUUGCUGUUUUGACGUUACCAACAGAAUAAGCACCGGCUAACUUCGUG
rnacentral:rRNA from 1 species